CCCUACGGGAGGCAGCAGUGGGGAAUAUUGCACAAUGGAGGAAACUCUGAUGCAGCAACGCCGCGUGGAGGAUGACACAUUUCGGUGCGUAAACUCCUUUUAUAUGGGAAGAUAAUGACGGUACCAUAUGAAUAAGCACCGGCUAACUCCUGCCAGCAGCCGCGGUAAU
rnacentral:rRNA from 1 species